GAUGAACGCUGGCUGCGUGCCUAAUACAUGCAAGUCGAGCGAACGGACGAGAAGCUUGCUUUUCUGAUGUUAGCGGCGGACGGGUGAGUAACACGUGGAUAACCUACCUAUAAGACUGGGAUAACUUCGGGAAACCGGAGCUAAUACCGGAUAAUAUUUUGAACCGCAUGGUUCAAAAGUGAAAGACGGUCUUGCUGUCACUUAUAGAUGGAUCCGCGCUGCAUUAGCUAGUUGGUAAGGUAACGGCUUACCAAGGCAACGAUGCAUAGCCGACCUGAGAGGGUGAUCGGCCACACUGGAACUGAGACACGGUCCAGACUCCUACGGGAGGCAGCAGUAGGGAAUCUUCCGCAAUGGGCGAAAGCCUGACGGAGCAACGCCGCGUGAGUGAUGAAGGUCUUCGGAUCGUAAAACUCUGUUAUUAGGGAAGAACAUAUGUGUAAGUAACUGUGCACAUCUUGACGGUACCUAAUCAGAAAGCCACGGCUAACUACGUGCCAGCAGCCGCGGUAAUACGUAGGUGGCAAGCGUUAUCCGGAAUUAUUGGGCGUAAAGCGCGCGUAGGCGGUUUUUUAAGUCUGAUGUGAAAGCCCACGGCUCAACCGUGGAGGGUCAUUGGAAACUGGAAAACUUGAGUGCAGAAGAGGAAAGUGGAAUUCCAUGUGUAGCGGUGAAAUGCGCAGAGAUGUGGAGGAACACCAGUGGCGAAGGCGACUUUCUGGUCUGUAACUGACGCUGAUGUGCGAAAGCGUGGGGAUCAAACAGGAUUAGAUACCCUGGUAGUCCACGCCGUAAACGAUGAGUGCUAAGUGUUAGGGGGUUUCCGCCCCUUAGUGCUGCAGCUAACGCAUUAAGCACUCCGCCUGGGGAGUACGACCGCAAGGUUGAAACUCAAAGGAAUUGACGGGGGCCCGCACAAGCGGUGGAGCAUGUGGUUUAAUUCGAAGCAACGCGAAGAACCUUACCAAAUCUUGGCAUCCUUUGACAACUCUAGAGAUAGAGCCUUCCCCUUCGGGGGACAAAGUGACAGGUGGUGCAUGGUUGUCGUCAGCUCGUGUCGUGAGAUGUUGGGUUAAGUCCCGCAACGAGCGCAACCCUUAAGCUUAGUUGCCAUCAUUAAGUUGGGCACUCUAAGUUGACUGCCGGUGACAAACCGGAGGAAGGUGGGGAUGACGUCAAAUCAUCAUGCCCCUUAUGAUUUGGGCUACACACGUGCUACAAUGGACAAUACAAAGGGCAGCGAAACCGCGAGGUCAAGCAAAUCCCAUAAAGUUGUUCUCAGUUCGGAUUGUAGUCUGCAACUCGACUACAUGAAGCUGGAAUCGCUAGUAAUCGUAGAUCAGCAUGCUACGGUGAAUACGUUCCCGGGUCU
rnacentral:rRNA from 1 species